GAUCUGUUCAAAACAUUGGCAGCAAAAAUCAAGACUUGUGACAAUACCGAAGAUUGUCCUCUAAAUUAAAACGCAAAUCCUUUACACCAAGACGCAGAGACUCCUGACUAUUUCAAGUAUGAAAGUUGCUUUGCUGAUAGCUGUCAUGUUGGUAACUACCGUCCUGGUGGACGCCUCGACCGGAAGGAGGAGGAGGAGGUGGCUCGACAAGAAAGGUAGCAAUUUCGAAAAGAAAGUGAUAAUCCUCCAGCAGGCUGACGCUAAGCUGGAGGAGGUCGUGGAGGAAGUGGAGGAAGCUGCCGCCUUGGGUCUGGUGAAAAACGAGCUGGAGGAGCUGGAAGGGGAAAUAGAAGAUAUCAACGGCCGCCCUAAUGCAUAAUGGCAUCCAGUGGUCCUGACAGGGUCUAAAUCUACAAGAAGACCUACCCGUUCAAGCAGGAUCUGACAGCUUAAUUAUCUAUCCAUGCACCACAGCAAACUUCCAGUCUGGUGAUGUUCCAUUUGAACAAGGUCUAACCUUGAUUUUAGAAAUUCAAAAUACUUCUAUAUUUCUCAGUCACUGAGCUGGCUUGACUAAAUGGGAUACUUGCCUAUUGUUUUACUGUUUUUAUUUCCUUUCACAAGCGUGGAUUUGUUAUGAAAAUCAAUGAUCAAUAUCAAAAGAAUUUCAUUUCAAUGUAUGCCUUGCUUUGUUGCCCUAUGUAAGGAACAAUGGUGUGAAGAAUAAAGGUACGGAACUGCUG